UACGGGGGGGGGUAAGCGUUGUUCGGAAUUACUGGGCGUAAAGGGCUCGUAGGCGGCCAACUAAGUCAUACGUGAAAUCUCCGAGCCUAACUCGGAAACUGCAUCGGAUACUAUCCGGCUUGAGGGUUGGAGGGGGGACUGGAAUACUUGGUGUAGCAGUGAAAUGCGUAGAUAUCAAGUGGAACACCAGUGGCGAAGGCGAGUCCCUGGACAACUCCUGACACUGAGGCACGAAAGCUAGGGGAGCAAACAGG
rnacentral:rRNA from 1 species